AGUAACCAUGCUAGUAAUGGAGAUUUCUCUAGCUCAAAGUACCUCAAUACUAUGGAUCCAGGUAUUCUCCCGUCCUCUAUCGCCGUCUGCAAGUCCUUCGGCAAACUCUCCAACGACCUACCUACAAAGAUAAUUCAAAAUUUAGAUCAGUAAAUGCGUAAAUGCACAAUAUAACUGUAACAGAGAUUCAGAAUUUUAAGUCAGAAGUAGAAAUGCUAAUAUGUAAAUAUAGAACUCUAAGCCAGGACUACGACCUUUUAGCUGCACGUCGGUCUUACCACUACCUCUUGAGGGUAGAGAGAUUGUUUUCAAAAGACUAUCGGCUCAAGUGAAGAAAAUCAAAAUAGUAAUAAAAAAAUAUAUAUAUAUUCAUCGUGAUGGGGUAGAUCAUAGCGAUUGUUACUCUACAAAGUGGAAUUCCUACCUGCCUCGGUCAACGCGAUCAAAGCUUCCUUUCGGUUCUUUUUCUGAUCACCACUCUCCUCAUUACCACCAUUACCACCACCACCACCUCCUCCUCCAUUUCCACCGUGGAAAUUAUCAUCACCGCCACCACCACCGGUGCCAGCAGCAGCGAAGGAUAACAUUAGAAAUGUGCGGCGGCUGGAGGUGAAAUUAGGGCUGGAAUUCAUGGAGAACGAGAGGGAAUCAACACGAGCUACGUUAGUAGUAACGGCAUUAGAAAUAGAAACGGUGAUACGGGAGGAUGAAGAUGUUGGUGAGGCCAGUAUGCCGCCAUAGCGUGUCGUCACCGGUGAGAAGUUGACGGCAGCGGUGGCGGCGAUAGGCAUGUUUGCUGGAUCGUGGUUAAUGCCUUCUGAGCGUUUGCUUUUUCUGCUCCUGUAUAUAUAGUACUUAUGUUUUUGUUCUGUGUUUUCUUUUUAACCAGUGGCUGGCUAGCUGAGUAGCUGUUUGAACGAACGUUUGGUACCAUGGUAUGAUGGAGAAUAGGAAUGCAAGCCCACGCGCAAGCAAAUCAAAGGUGCGCUGCACGUUUAAUAAUUUUGGUUUUCCCGUUAGGAACGAUUCGCUAUACUUUUUAUCGAAAAUAUUAAAAUUCACUUUUAAAAUAUUUUUCACAAAGUUACACGUAUUUUUUUAUAUUUUUUCCACAUCAGCAGAUUGUGUCUAAUUGACACACUUUAUGAAUAAUUAAAGAGUUCAAUAGAUACAUAGCCUAAUUGAGAUGUCAAUAUAAAAAAAAUUUAAAAGUUUAAGAAUUUAUCUAUGUAUUUUGCCUUUAAUUUAAUUAGGCAUUACACGUCUUUUGACAUGAGGCACUAGACCGGGACUUUAAGAUAAGAUGAUAUCUUGAAUUUAGCAAAUUCGAUUCAUCAUUUGUACUCAAAAUCAAUGGAUUAGAUUAAUGAGAUUGAACUUUAAUCAAAUUCAUAUUUAGACUUAAAUAAUUAAUUCAUAAUAUCUAUUUGGACUAAUAUAUCUUGAAUUUAGAAUAAUCCAAAUUGUCUAUAGAUUUAAAUUCAAUUGAAUUUCAUUGUCAGUAGCACCGUCUGGCUAGGCAAAAAAUUUACCAAAAAAAAUAUUUUUAAAAGAUAAAAGAGAAAUUUUAACACAAAUAUUCAAUAUUAUGUGGUAUAAAUUAUUUCAUUAGGGGUACAAGAGAAAUUUUAUAGUUGAAUUAUUUUCUAAUAUAGAAAGAAGACAUUAUUUUUUAGACAAACUAAAUGAAAAAAGUGUAAAAAUUGUUGCUUUCAAAUGCGUAUGCAGGUAUCAAGGUUGCAACAUUCUUUUCUUCCAUGCGAGCUCCAUAUCAAGAUUGAGCUUUCUACUAGCCUAAUAAAUUUUGUGACUCUACCAAUAAAUAACAAGUCUUGCCAUGGAUCAACUGAUAUGGUGAAGUCCCAUGGGGAUCUUGUAUCUAGUGCGAUAAGCCCAUACAACAUCAUCC
rnacentral:lncRNA from 1 species